CACAACUGUAGCCGUCGUCGUCGUUGGCGUGCGUGUUGCUCUGCUUUCGGAGCCCGUGCGCGAGCGGAACCAAAGUAGCAGACCAUGGAGGGCCUGCUGCCGUUCCUGUACCGGGCCAUCCUCCACCUCGCCAGCGGCGGCCAGUCGCCCACCGGCAACCCCUUCUUCCGCAACGACUCGCCGCCGGAGUCGCCGCUGGCGGCGCACUACUACGUCCGCCUCGCCGCCGGCGCCGACGUGCCGGCCUUCCUCUCCUCCGCGGCGCGCGGCUACUACGACCGCGGGUGAGAGCCCUGCCGAACCAGGAACGACGCUGGGCGUGCGAGCAGGAAGAAUCCUCGUGAGCUCCUUCAGUUGCGUGUUCAGAGUGCUGGUUCUCCUCCCUCUUCUUGUGGCUUCUUGGAGAUUCUCCUCCCCCUCCUUUGCUCCUUGGAAUAAAGGCAUGGAUGGAUGAGGUCCAGCCAUCCAGGGGGCCGCGUCGUUUUCUUCCAUUGUAUAUAGGCCAUAUAUGACGUGAUCAGUCGGGUGCUCGCCUAAUUGCAGGUUCUCAGACACGGGCGAAUAUGAUACCGAUUUGCAAUAUAUCGCCGAAAAAAAAUGCCAAGGCUUUGAGAGGUUCUUGUCCUCCUGUGCAUGAUCUCCUGCUACUGCUUGGCCCUGAGGCCUAGCGUUUUUUUUCCUUUUUCUUGUUUUGCUGUUGCAAAUCGAUGUUUCAUUUAAUCAGAAGUUCGCAGCGUGUCAUUUGAAAGGUAAACUGGCAUGGACUGUGCAUGACCGAAGCUGUUGGGUGCUCGCUGGCAGCAGCAGCACUACACGAAAAAAGAAAAGAAUAGAGAGAUAAACAUCCCGUCGAUUCCAACUCCAGAUACAUGGUUCGCCACAAACCUUUUGACAUAAGGACCAAAAUCUCAACUUUCAGGAGUCGGAUUCUCUUAAAUGGCUCUGCGAAAAUCGUUCAGUUUUCUUGAAAUAUUCCCAACAAAUUUUUAGCUUACGAGUUGCACAGCAACAAUUCGGUUCUUUUACCAUAGCUCUUGCACCGGAUACAUGGCCUCUCCUUUCGAAUCCCCUCCGCCACUAACCUUUGACACCACCAUGACCUUCGUCUCUGCGACCGCCUCCGCCACCCUCUUCCUCUCCAUCCUGUCCCAAGCACGUAGCCCCGGCGCGUGCAUCUGCCGGCAGCCGUUGUCAUCUACUCAUCUCCGCUGCACGCAACGGUGGGCCCCAACUCGGCACCCGUGCUGUUGGAGAGCAAGGCUAAGGGAACAAAAAAAGGGGGUCCGGCGUCGCGCCGGGAACCUACCAGGACCCCUCGACAUCGAGAUCAGGGAGACGGAGACGGUGGCUCUACUGAAAUUUGGCAUGUGUUAUUAAUUAAUGUCUCUGCAAAUGAAAGGAAUCUGUUCCGGACAACUUCCCAUUUGAAAUAAUUGACGAAGAGGGUAUUAGCGUGGUUAGUUUGAGAAGAGACUACAAGUACGAGAAGAUCGAGGUUACUGUCAGCAUGGCUAAUUUAGUAGGAGGCCCUGAGUUUGGUGAUGAGGAUGGUGAGGCCGAUGGUGAGAGCGCUGCCAAGGAUGACGAAGAAGCAGAAGAUAGCAAGCAUUUCUCAAGGCCUGGCCCAAAGCUUGAGUUCACGAUACACAACCUUUCGUCAGGAGAUCACCAUUGAUGAUAUGCUAAUAGUAGAGAAAAUAGACGGCGAUCGACGACGGAGAAGAGAAUUGAAGAUCCCCUACGAUCGAGGGCCCUGAGUUCACCGACCUCCCUGCGAAUGUUCAGAAAGGCCUGUUCAAAUACUUGGAGCAAACGGGGGUAACGGUGUCGGCUACCAACUAUAUGCACGAUUACAUACAUGGGUGACUAAGGCUGUCUCCAGCAACGAACGCUAAAGUGUUCGGUAUGCUAUAUUUAGUGUUUUUUUUGGCUGUCCGCUACCGUCCUAGUAAGGACCGGCAAAUGAUCCGCUAAAAUAUAGUUAUAUAGCGGCAGCUCGACGACCGGUAAACCUAGCGGAGCUCCUCGUGUCCGCUAUCUGCUGUUUAUGUCAGCUCGCGCUCAGUUUGUGCAGCAUGCGCACAUGGACAGUGACUUGUUAUUUAUUGUUCUUUUUUUUAAUCUCUAAAGUACAACUUUUGUCU